GUGAUGGGCUCCUAUCAACCUCCUGCGUCCCUCAAUCACAGCCACAAAUGUUGGGAGAAUUUGCAGGGUGACCAAUAUGAGUCUUGAUAAAGGCCCACUAUUGAGGGCCGAAACGCGUUGACAGCAAUUUGGUAUCGUCAUCAGAUUGUGAAUGAGUUGUUUGCCACAAGAUCAGAAAUAAGAUGGCUGUCCCUUUGAUAAGAGAACUAGACAAGCUGGACCAAAGAGAGGGUACAAAACACAAUUGAAAUUCAAGAAUACAAAAGGAUUAACUCUGAGUGUCAUCAAUGUAUCUGAUUACCAACUAUCUCAGAGCCAAAUAUCUGUCUUCCAGAAAGAACUUGGUUUUGCUGCCACAAAGAAAAAAAAAUUGUAUUUUAUACACCCCCAGAUGUUAAUAAAUUUGUUUGGAAAUUAA